GUUCCAGACUCCUACGGGAGGCAGCAGUGGGGGAUAUUGCACAAUGGGGGGAACCCUGAUGCAGCGACGCCGCGUGGGCGAUGGAGCGCCUCGGCGCGUAAAGCCCUAUCAGCAGGGAAGAAAAUGACGGUACCUGACUAAGAAGCCCCGGCUAAAUACGUGCCAGCAGCCGCGGUAAUACGUAUGGGGCAAGCGUUAUCCGGAUUUACUGGGUGUAAAGGGAGCGCAGGCGGCCUGGCAAGCCUGAUGUGAAAUACCGGGGCCCAACCCCGGGGCUGCAUUGGGAACUGCCAGGCUGGAGUGCCGGAGAGGCAGGCGGAAUUCCUAGUGUAGCGGUGAAAUGCGUAGAUAUUAGGAGGAACACCAGUGGCGAAGGCGGCCUGCUGGACGGUGACUGACGCUGAGGCUCGAAAGCGUGGGGAGCAAACAGGAUUAGAUACCCGAGUA
rnacentral:rRNA from 1 species